rnacentral:rRNA from 1 species
UGGUGAACCAGCGGAGGGAUCAUUACCGAGUACUAUAACUCAUAACCCUUUGUGAACCUUCAUACCUGUUGCUUCGGCGGCGCGCCUCCCGGGGCGUGCCCGCCGGCAUUAUCAGAAUCUCUGUUCGAACCCGACGAUACUUCUGAGUGUUCUAAGCGAACUGUUAAAACUUUCAACAACGGAUCUCUUGGCUCCAGCAUCGAUGAAGAACGCAGCGAAACGCGAUAUGUAAUGUGAAUUGCAGAAUUCAGUGAAUCAUCGAAUCUUUGAACGCACAUGGCGCCUUCCAGUAUCCUGGGAGGCAUGCCUGUCCGAGCGUCGUUUCAACCCUCGAGCCCCCGUGGCCCGGCGUUGGGGACCUGCCCAGGCAGUCCCCGAAAACCAGUGGCGGACCCGACGGGCCCUUCCUUUGCGUAGUAACAUCUGCCUCGCAUCGGGAGCCCCCGGGCUAUCCGGCCUCUAAACCCCCCUCAAGCCCGCUCCGGCGGCACCAAGGUUGACCUCGGAUCAGGUAGGAAUACCCGCUGA